UCGAACCGAUGACCUUGGCG
rnacentral:misc_RNA from 1 species